AUGAACUGUGUGACUACGGUCAGAUACCAGAUCAAGUUAAAUGCCGAGCUUACCGAGCAGUUUUCCCCUACCCGCGGGCUACGACAAGGCGAUCCUACUUCGCCCUAUCUGUUCGUGAUCUGCGCGGAGGGUUUGUCGGCGCUGCUUCAUGAGGCCGAGGCAACAGGGCGCAUCACGGGCGUCAAAAUUUGUCGAGCUGCACCUGUUGUCUCGCAUCUCUUGUUUGCCGACGACUCGGUGCUCCUGAUCAAGGCCAACCACGAUGAAGCUCAUGCCCUGCGCGAGGUUUUGGACCUCUAUGAAAACUGUUUCGGUCAGUGCAUAAACCUGGAGAAAUCAUCCAUCAUGUUCAGCCCGAACACUCAAGCUAUGGAGAAAACAGCAGUGAAAGACGCUCUGCAGAUUCAGAGUGAUACAUGGAAUGAUAAAUACUUGGGAUUACCAAUUCAUGUGGGCAAAUCUAGGAAAAAGGCUUUUGCUUUCGUGAAAGGGGCUAUGGCCGGCAGGGUGUAUGGAUGGAAGGAGCGCCUCAUCGCUAAGUGUGGUAAAGAGACUCUGGUCACGGCCGUGGCCCAGGCGAUUCCUACCUUCGCUAUGUCUUGCUUCUACCUCACGAAAACCUUCUAUGAGGAGCUGAGUUCACUCCUCGGUGACUACUGGUGGAGCCAGCAGGACAAAGAUAGGACCACUCAUUGGAUUGGCUAG
rnacentral:rRNA from 1 species